rnacentral:ncRNA from 1 species
CAAAAGCUUAGUCCUGGCUUUUCCAUUAGCUUUAGCUAUACUUACACAUGCAAGUCUCCGCAGCCCCGUGAGUAACUGGCCCCCACCCAAUAAUGUUGGAAUAAGGAGCCGGCAUCAGGCACAAAAACUUAGCCCAUGACGCCUAGCCCAGCCACACCCCCAAGGGUAUUCAGCAGUGAUAGACAUUUAGCCAUAAGCGAAAGCUUGACUCAGUUAAAGCUAUAAGAGGGCCGGUAAAACUCGUGCCAGCAACCGCGGUUAGACGAGAGGCCCAAGUUGAUGGACAUACUCGGCACCAAGCGUGGUUAAGGAGACUAAAAAAAUAAAGUCGAACAUUUUCAUGGCUGUUAUACGCAUCCGAAAACAUGAAGCCCAACUACGAAAGUAACUUUAACAAACCUGAACCCACGAAAGCUAAGGAACAAACUGGGAUUAGAUACCCCACUAUGCUUAGCCCUAAACUUAGAGUGGCUCUUAUUAGACCACUCCGCCCGGGAAUUACGAACAUAAGUUUAAAACCCAAAGGACUUGACGGUGCUUUACAUCCGACUAGAGGAGCCUGUUCUACAACCGAUAACCCCCGUUAAACCUCACCCUCCCUUGCUCCAUACCGCCUAUAUACCGCCGUCGUCAGCUUACCCUUUUGAUGGCCCAGCAGUAAGCAAAACUGGCAAAGCCCAGAACGUCAGGUCGAGGUGUAGUGAAUGAGAGGGGAAGAAAUGGGCUACAUUUGCUAAUUCAGCAAAAACGAAUAUCGUAUUGAAACAUACAAUUGAAGGAGGAUUUAGCAGUAAGCAGGAAAUAGAGUGUCCUGCUGAAAAGGGCUCUAAAGCGCGUACACACCGCCCGUCACCCUCUCCAAUGCAUGAAGACAUAAUUUAACUAAAAUGCCGCCCGCAACUCAGGAGAGGAAAGUCGUAACAUGGUAAGCGUACCGGAAGGUGCGCUUGGAUUAACACAUA